rnacentral:rRNA from 1 species
GGCGGUACUUAUUCUUUUCAGAGGAACCUGUUCUGUUAAAGAUACCACACUAUUAUAAAACUUUUUUUUAACUUAUAUAUCGUUGUCUUUAGAAUUAGUUAUAUAGGCUUUUUCAAUUAUUUUAAUUUAAAAAAAAGUCAAAUCAAGGUGUAGUAUAAUUAAGUAGAAAUGGGUUACAUUUAUUUAAAUAACAGAUUUAUGCUUGUGAAAAAAUUGGAUUUGAGAUUAAAUUACUAUUUAGUAUAAUUUGAACUGAGCUCUAAGGU